AGGAAGAGUUCUUGGCGGAUUGAUGGCGGGCAAAGAGAAUCUCGCCCAACAGAACCAGAAUAGCCAGGCCGGACCCACCCAACAUAAGGAUCAUGGUGCCAAACAAGUCCUGCAGGUUGAGGGGUCGCAGUGGCUGCGUGCCAUGGUACACUUACUCAGCGCUGAGGGCAUCCCUGAAUGGAGAGCCUGCCUGGAGGAUGAUGCCGAAACGUGUGUAGAAGAAGGAGUCCCUCACCACUGUCAUGCGACACUCCGUGCAGGCAGAGCAAGGUCAUCAGCGACGGCAAACUCCAGCCAUGAGUUGUCCUGAGGAGGAGAAGAGCAUGACAGGGAGGGGCUAUUAACCCCGGCAUUAACUGCAGGGGACACUCAAUUCCAAGAAACCCACAGAAAAAAUGUUCUUAUAAACAGUGAAGGCACCAUGCAGGCAGGCUAAUAUAAUUGCCUCCCCCCUAAAUCUCAGCUCCCCUUCCCUUUGGUAUCAUUAAUUUUGAGACUAAUCAUUGUUCCUUUUAUUUUCCUCAGUCUCACCCCGUUCACCAAGGGAGCACCUUCCAAACCUUUGCUAUUAAAUAAUCUUGAAGUGGCCCCUAAUUAGAAAAGUUAAAUUGUGUACAUGUGAUUGAGCUGCUACUUUAAAGACAAUAUGGAUAGAUUUGUAAUAUAUGGAGGCGAAGAUUAAACACUGUUUUGUUAAUCAUUAUUUGCUUUAUGAUUUAAGUCAGCAAAAAACUGAGAUGGUUUGGACAUGUGAAAGAGAGUGUAUGAGGAAGGGGGUGUCAGGGGAAGACCACCUGUGACGUGGAUCAAUAGGGUGAGCGAGUAAUGGAACGAGAGAGUUGUAAGUAGCAGGAUUGAGUGUGCUGAGAGGGAGUGCCAGAACAGGGAGAUAUAGAGACACUUCUGGCAUAAGGGAAGUUCCUUUGAGGGAGAAGGGCAUUGGAGAUAUAGAUAGAUAGAUAAGCAAAAAAACAGCUUCUUACAGGUGACACCACAAGCUUACUUUGCCACUGUUUGCUUAUAGAACUUACCAGUGGUGGGCACCGCUAACUGAAAAGUUAGCUUCGCUAACUGGUAAUCCACUAACUUCGGUUAAGUAUUUUGGCUCUAAAACCCUUAAAAACAGACCUAGUGACCUGAAAUUUCAAUAUGUUGUAGCUUAGACAUAGAGCUUUCCAGAACGGUAUAGCAUGCCGAAAUCAGAUGAUGAUGAAGUGUACACAAAUAAACAAAUUAAAUUUAACACUUUA